AGAAAAUGCCUGUCUGUGCUACAGAAAUGGAUUGCRUAUAAUAUGACAACCAUCUUUUAUAGAGGCAAACCAGACUCGUUGAGCUCUAACAUUGUAAAGAAAAAGGCUUUACAGGUAUAAUUAACCUGUGGAAUGUCCUUCCACAAGAUACUCCUGAAGUAUUGGCGUUAAUACCAUCUGUCUUCAUAAUUCAGGGCAUCAGUGGCCUACCAGCUGAGAUCAAGAAGCAAUCUACUGUCUCUCUUCAUGGCAUAUCUCUGCUGAAUGAAUUAAGAGGUCAUUGUGACUUUUUUAGCAAUGGUCAAUGUUGAAGAUGGAGGAGGUUUUGGAUUCUAAGGGAAAAUGUGCAGUUAUUUCCAGAAAUACUCAAGGGGGUCGCUGCUCGGCAUGUGGACAAGAAGAAAUCUCCUGCAUGUGUCAGCAAGACUCAUAAGCAGAAAGAGAUUGGUACGUCAGCAAGAAAAGUUUUCUUCCUGGGGAGAAAUACAAGCAAACAUGAAGACAAGAGGACUCAGCGUGAUCCAUGUAAUGCUCUCCUUUCCCUGA
rnacentral:lncRNA from 1 species